UCCACAUACACGUAACCAUCAAAGUUAGCAUAUAAAAACAAGCUGAUCUAAUGGAGCCUCGGUGGAACAAGGUGACAGGUUGUUCGUCAAGACCCAAAGCUGCUGAACCAUACAGUGAAAUAACAGCUGCUAAGAUGAAGAAUGAUGCUGUUGGGAAGAAUAUCUUAUUACACACUCAAGGUCAGGAUUGUGCAGCGACUGAACUUCAUUUGUUUUCUAAUCAAAAGAAAUGAACCACGCCCAGAUCAACUGAAGAGGAGAUUGAAAUGCGAUUAUUCUCAGUUGUGGUUCGGCACACCUUUCCACUGCGGUUGCAACAAAUGCCAGAUGGUGUUUUGUGAAAAUCUGGAAGCCUCAGCCCUCAUGGAACAUAUUUCAUCGACAUCAACUGAGACAGACACGUAUUCAGAAACUGAAGAGUUGUUGCUGCUGUCACACUUGGAGUUGAUGCCUGUGCUGUCAGCCGAUGAGAAGGAGUGAACAGCUUCAUCUGCGAGCCGGCUGGUUGGGUGUUGUUUUCUCUUCCUUAACUCUUGUUUAGUCUCUUGUAUUUAUAGGUGCAGUGCUGCCUAGUUUUGCUAAACAUCUUGUGGCCACCAUAAAGAUGAUUGAUGCAAUCAUUGGCUGGCUUUCCAAAGAGUUUGACCUGCUUUCUUUCCCAGUCACUUUGGAAGAGUCCACUUUUUUAUGCAUGCAUUUGUAUCCCAAGUGCAUGGACGCCCCAGUUUAUUUACAGUGCAGUGAUCCCUUUGGGAUGUCACCUCGUGACGGUGUUUCAUAUUUCAUUCCUUGCCAUUUAAUAGUGCACCUGACAGGGGCCGAGCUCUCCUCCGUAGCCUAUUUAACAUGCAGAGGGAGACCCCAGGAAUGUUCUUUAAUCAAACUUCAUUAUAGCUUCCCUGAAGCGGCUGCUCACAGGUUCUUGUUAAUCCAGCCUACUGAUUGAAAGGUUCACUGAGGUUUAUUCAGACAGUGAGGGUUGCGGAGGGUGUGAGCUUCCUGCACAAUACUAACUUAAACGUCGGUGAUGCAACAUUCAUUACGAGCUUCUUGUCUGCACUCCCACAUGUCAAUGUCCUGCCAGCAGGAUGCCUUUUAUGUUGCAAUGAACCCUUGGUGGGAAGUAACUAAGUACAAACACUUUGUUACUGUA